GAACUUUCCAGAGAUGGAUUGGUGCCUUCGGGAACUGUGAGACAGGUGCUGCAUGGCUGUCGUCAGCUCGUGUUGUGAAAUGUUGGGUUAAGUCCCGCAACGAGCGCAACCCUUAUCCUUUGUUGCCAGCGGUCCGGCCGGGAACUCAAAGGAGACUGCCAGUGAUAAACUGGAGGAAGGUGGGGAUGACGUCAAGUCAUCAUGGCCCUUACGACCAGGGCUACACACGUGCUACAAUGGCGCAUACAAAGAGAAGCGACCUCGCGAGAGCAAGCGGACCUCAUAAAGUGCGUCGUAGUCCGGAUUGGAGUCUGCAACUCGACUCCA
rnacentral:rRNA from 1 species